UGCGCCUACGGGACGCAGCAGUAGGGAAUCUUCCACAAUGGACGAAAGUCUGAUAGAGCAACGCCGCGUGAGUGAAGAAGGGUUUCGGCUCGUAAAGCUCUGUUGGUAGUGAAGAAAGAUAGAGGUAGUAACUGGCCUUUAUUUGACGGUAAUUACUUAGAAAGUCACGGCUAACUACGUGCCAGCAGCCGCGGUAAUACGUAAGUGGCAAGCGUUGUCCGGAUUUAUUGGGCGUAAA
rnacentral:rRNA from 1 species